CUUUUCUUCAAAGGAUGGGUUGGAGCGUUAAAAAAUGUUGGUGGGUUUGGGCUCGCAGGAGGCGGCGCGCGGAGGGCGAGGGCGCUUUUGCUGAGCUGUGCAGUUCGGUCCGCUGAGCCCGGCGGCCCUGCCCGCCCGCUCGUCCGCCCGCGGUCGCUAGUGUUGCCGCCGCCGCCGCCGCCGCCGCCGCUGCUGCUCCAUGGCCGCGCCCGCCCCGCGCCCCCGCCGCGUCCCGUCGCCGCCCGCCCGCGUCCCCGGCACUGGAAGUAGAGCAGCAAUGAAGACAGAUGUAGUCCUGGCAUUCCUCAAGCUUAUAGUCUAAUAGGAACGUCUACACUGAGAAAGAAAAAAAAGAAAAGAAGGAAGAAAAGAAGAAACCCUUCUCUGACACUUCAUAGACAAAAAACAAGAGGAGAUGAUUA
rnacentral:lncRNA from 1 species